rnacentral:rRNA from 1 species
GACGAACGCUGGCGGCGCGCUUAACACAUGCAAGUCGAACGGAAAGGCCUGCUUUCCCUUGUGGAUUGCGGGUACUCGAGUGGCGAACGGGUGAGUAACACGUGAGUGAUCUGCCCCCAACUUGGGUAUAAGCCUGGGAAACUGGGUCUAAUUCCCGAUAGGACUGCAGGGUGGUGCCUGUGGUGGAAAACGAUUUUCUAGUGGUUGGGGAUGAGCUCGCGGCCUAUCAGCUUGUUGGUGGGGUAAUGGCCUACCAAGGCGGCGACGGGUAGCCGGCCUGGGAGGGUGGACGGCCGCAUUGGGACUGAGAUACGGCCCAGACUCCUACGGGAGGCAGCAGUGGGGAAGAAUGCACAAUGGGCGGAAGCCUGAUGCAGCGACGCCGCGUGGGGGAUGACGGCCUUCGGGUUGUGAACUCCUUUCGACCGCGAGGAAGCCACCUGGUUGGAAGGGUGGUGACGGUAGUGGUAGAAGAAGCACCGGCUAACUACGUG